rnacentral:rRNA from 1 species
UGGGGAAUUUUGGACAAUGGGCGAAAGCCUGAUCCAGCAAUGCCGCGUGUGUGAAGAAGGCCUUCGGGUUGUAAAGCACUUUUGUCCGGAAAGAAAUCCUUGGCUCUAAUACAGUCGGGGGAUGACGGUACCGGAAGAAUAAGCACCGGCUAACUACGUGCCAGCAGCCGCGGUAAUACGUAGGGUGCAAGCGUUAAUCGGAAUUACUGGGCGUAAAGCGUGCGCAGGCGGUUUGCUAAGACCGAUNUGAAAUCCCCGGGCUCAACCUGGGAACUGCAUUGGUGACUGGCAGGCUAGAGUAUGGCAGAGGGGGGUAGAAUUCCACGUGUAGCAGUGAAAUGCGUAGAGAUGUGGAGGAAUACCGAUGGCGAAGGCAGCCCCCUGGGCCAAUACUGACGCUCAUGCACGAAAGCGUGGGGAGCAAACAGGAUUNGAUACCCUGGUAGUCCACGCCCUAAAACGAUGUCAACUAGUUGUUGGGGAUUCAUUUCCUUAGUAACGUAGCUAACGCGUGAAGUUGACCGCCUGGGGAGUACGUCGCAA